CAGCAGCCACGGGAAUACAGAGGGUGCAAGCGUUAAUCGGAAUUACUGGGCGUAAAGCGCGCGUAGGUGGUUUGUUAAGUUGGAUGUGAAAUCCCCGGGCUCAACCUGGGAACUGCAUCCAAAACUGGCAAGCUAGAGUAUGGUAGAGGGUGGUGGAAUUUCCUGUGUAGCGGUGAAAUGCGUAGAUAUAGGAAGGAACACCAGUGGCGAAGGCGACCACCUGGACUGAUACUGACACUGAGGUGCGAAAGCGUGGGGAGCAAACAGGAUUAGAUACCCCCGUAGUCCCUGUCUCUUAUCC
rnacentral:rRNA from 1 species